rnacentral:rRNA from 1 species
CGUAGGGGGCAAGCGUUAUCCGGAAUUAUUGGGCGUAAAGAGUGCGUAGGUGGUUUUGUAAGCGCGAGGUGAAAGGCUAUGGCUCAACCAUAGUAAGCCUUGCGAACUGCAAGACUUGAGUGCAGGAGAGGAAAGUGGAAUUCCUAGUGUAGCGGUGAAAUGCGUAGAUAUUAGGAGGAACACCAGUGGCGAAGGCGACUUUCUGGACUGUAACUGACACUGAGGCACGAAAGCGUGGGGAGCAAACAGGAUUAGAUACCCUGGUAGUCCACGCCGUAAACGAUGAGCACUAGGUGUCGGGGUCGCAAGGCUUCGGUGCCGCAGUUAACGCAUUAAGUGCUCCGCCUGGGGAGUACGCACGCAAGUGUG